GACGAACCGUGCGAACGUUGUUCGGAAUCACUGGGCUUAAAGGGCGCGUAGGCGGACUCGUAAGUCUGUGGUGAAAGCCCCCAGCUCAACUGGGGAAAGGGCCUUGGAUACUGCGAGUCUGGAGGAGGGUAGGGGCAUCUGGAACGCUGGGUGGAGCGGUGAAAUGCGUUGAUAUCCAGCGGAACUCCGGUGGCGAAGGCGGCAUCCUGGACCGACACUGACGCUGAGGCGCGAAAGCGUGGGGAGCAAACAGG
rnacentral:rRNA from 1 species